rnacentral:rRNA from 1 species
AUUGAACGCUGGCGGCAUGCCUUACACAUGCAAGUCGAACGGUAACGCGGGGGCAACCCUGGCGACGAGUGGCGAACGGGUGAGUAAUACAUCGGAACGUACCCAGUAGUGGGGGAUAGCUCGGCGAAAGCCGGAUUAAUACCGCAUACGACCUAUGGGUGAAAGCGGGGGAUCGCAAGACCUCGCGCUAUUGGAGCGGCCGAUGUCGGAUUAGCUAGUUGGUGAGGUAAAGGCUCACCAAGGCUACGAUCCGUAGCUGGUCUGAGAGGACGACCAGCCACACUGGGACGUGAGACA